ACGGAAUUUACAUGAAGCCUAGCGAUUGUAAAUUUAGUGGCGGACGGGUGAGUAACGCGUGGGUAACCUGCCUUGUACUGGGGGACAACAGUUGGAAACGACUGCUAAUACCGCAUAAGCGCACAGCUUCGCAUGAAGCAGUGUGAAAAACUCCGGUGGUACAAGAUGGACCCGCGUCUGAUUAGCUGGUUGGUGAGGUAACGGCCCACCAAGGCGACGAUCAGUAGCCGGCCUGAGAGGGUGAACGGCCACAUUGGGACUGAGACACGGCCCAAACUCCUACGGGAGGCAGCAGUGGGGAAUAUUGCACAAUGGGGGAAACCCUGAUGCAGCAACGCCGCGUGAGUGAAGAAGUAUUUCGGUAUGUAAAGCUCUAUCAGCAGGAAAGAAAAUGACGGUACCUGACUAAGAAGCCCCGGCUAACUACGUGCCAGCAGCCGCGGUAAUACGUAGGGGGCAAGCGUUAUCCGGAUUCACUGGGUGUAAAGGGAGCGUAGACGGUUUUGCAAGUCUGAAGUGAAAGCCCGGGGCUUAACCCCGGGACUGCUUUGGAAACUGUAGGACUAGAGUGCAGGAGAGGUAAGUGGAAUUCCUAGUGUAGCGGUGAAAUGCGUAGAUAUUAGGAGGAACACCAGUGGCGAAG
rnacentral:rRNA from 1 species